CUACCACAUCCAAGGAAGGCAGCAGGCGCGCAAAUUACCCACUCCCAGAACGGGGAGGUAGUGACGAAAAAUAACAAUACGGGACUCUUUUGAGACCCCGUAAUUGGAAUGAGUACACUCUAAAUCCUUUAACGAGGAUCCAUUGGAGGGCAAGUCUGGUGCCAGCAGCUGCGGUAAUUCCAGCUCCAAUAGCGUAUAUUAAAGUUGUUGCGGUUAAAAAGCUCGUAGUUGGAUCUCAGUUCCAGACGGGUGGUCCGCCUACCGGUGGUUACUGCCUGUUCUGAACAGCCAGCCGGUUUCCUUUGAUGAUCUUCACCGGUUGUCUUGGGUGACCGGCACGUUUACUUUGAAAAAAUUAGAGUGCUCAAAGCAGGCGUGACGCCUGAAUAAUGGUGCAUGGAAUAAUAGAAUAGGACCUCGGUUCUGUUUUGUUGGUCUUUGGAACACGAGGUAAUGAUUAAGAGGGACAGACGGGGGCAUUCGUAUUGCGACGCUAGAGGUGAAAUUCUUGGACCGUCGCAAGACGAACUACUGCGAAAGCAUUUGCCAAGAAUGCUUCCGUUAAUCAAGAACGAAAGUUAGAGGUUCGAAGGCGAUCAGAUACCGCCCUAGUUCUAACCAUAAACGAUGCAAACCAGCGAUCCGGCUGUGUUCCUCAAAUGACACGCCGGGCAGCUUCCGGGAAACCACAGUAAAUGUUCCGGGGGAAGUAUGGUU
rnacentral:rRNA from 1 species